AGUGGCGUACGGGUGAGUAACACGUGGGCAACCUGCCCUGGAGCCUGGGAUACCCUCCCGAAAGGGAGGCUAAUACCGGAUACGUUCCCCGGGUCGCGAGAUCUGGGGAGGAAAGGUGGCGCAAGCUGCCGCUCUUGGAGGGGCUCGCGGCCUAUCAGCUAGUUGGUGAGGUAAUGGCUCACCAAGGCUAUGACGGGUAGCUGGUCUGAGAGGACGACCAGCCACACGGGGACUGAGACACGGCCCCGACUCCUACGGGAGGCAGCAGUGGGGAAUUUUCCGCAAUGGGCGAAAGCCUGACGGAGUGACGCCGCGUGGGGGACGAAGGCCUUCGGGUUGUAAACCCCUGUCAGAGGGAAAGAAGGGUGUCGGCGCGAUAACCGCCGGCACCUGACGGUACCUUCAGAGGAAGCCCCGGCCAACUCUGUGCCAGCAGCCGCGGUAAGACAGAGGGGGCUAGCGUUGCUCGGAAUUACUGGGCGUAAAGGGCGCGUAGGCGGGGCGGCAAGUCGGUCGUGAAAUCCUCCGGCUCAACCGGAGAACGUCGGCCGAAACUGCCGUUCUUGAGGGAUGCAGAGGAGAUUGGAAUUCCCGGUGUAGCGGUGAAAUGUGUAGAGAUCGGGAGGAACACCGGUGGCGAAAGCGGGUCUCUGGGCAUCUCCUGACGCUGAAGCGCGAAAGCGUGGGGAGCAAACGGGAUUAGAUACCCCGGUAGUCCACGCUGUAAACGAUG
rnacentral:rRNA from 1 species